rnacentral:tRNA from 1 species
UCCAAGGUAGCCUAGUGGACAUGGCAUCUGCCCAGUAAGCGGAACACUAUAGGUUCGAUUCCCAUCCCUGGAC